GAUGAACGCUGGCGGCGUGCCUAAUACAUGCAAGUCGAGCGAACGGACGAGAAGCUUGCUUCUCUGAUGUUAGCGGCGGACGGGUGAGUAACACGUGGAUAACCUACCUAUAAGACUGGGAUAACUUCGGGAAACCAGAGCUAAUACCGGAUAAUAUUUUGAACCGCAUGGUUCAAAAGUGAAAGACGGUCUUGCUGUCACUUAUAGAUGGAUCCGCGCUGCAUUAGCUAGUUGGUAAGGUAACGGCUUACCAAGGCAACGAUGCAUAGCCGACCUGAGAGGGUGAUCGGCCACACUGGAACUGAGACACGGUCCAGACUCCUACGGGAGGCAGCAGUAGGGAAUCUUCCGCAAUGGGCGAAAGCCUGACGGAGCAACGCCGCGUGAGUGAUGAAGGUCUUCGGAUCGUAAAACUCUGUUAUUAGGGAAGAACAUAUGUGUAAGUAACUGUGCACAUCUUGACGGUACCUAAUCAGAAAGCCACGGCUAACUACGUGCCAGCAGCCGCGGUAAUACGUAGGUGGCAAGCGUUAUCCGGAAUUAUUGGGCGUAAAGCGCGCGUAGGCGGUUUUUUAAGUCUGAUGUGAAAGCCCACGGCUCAACCGUGGAGGGUCAUUGGAAACUGGAAAACUUGAGUGCAGAAGAGGAAAGUGGAAUUCCAUGUGUAGCGGUGAAAUGCGCAGAGAUAUGGAGGAACACCAGUGGCGAAGGCGACUUUCUGGUCUGUAACUGACGCUGAUGUGCGAAAGCGUGGGGAUCAAACAGGAUUAGAUACCCUGGUAGUCCACGCCGUAAACGAUGAGUGCUAAGUGUUAGGGGGUUUCCGCCCCUUAGUGCUGCAGCUAACGCAUUAAGCACUCCGCCUGGGGAGUACGACCGCAAGGUUGAAACUCAAAGGAAUUGACGGGGACCCGCACAAGCGGUGGAGCAUGUGGUUUAAUUCGAAGCAACGCGAAGAACCUUACCAAAUCUUGACAUCCUUUGACAACUCUAGAGAUAGAGCCUUCCCCUUCGGGGGACAAAGUGACAGGUGGUGCAUGGUUGUCGUCAGCUCGUGUCGUGAGAUGUUGGGUUAAGUCCCGCAACGAGCGCAACCCUUAAGCUUAGUUGCCAUCAUUAAGUUGGGCACUCUAAGUUGACUGCCGGUGACAAACCGGAGGAAGGUGGGGAUGACGUCAAAUCAUCAUGCCCCUUAUGAUUUGGGCUACACACGUGCUACAAUGGACAAUACAAAGGGCAGCGAAACCGCGAGGUCAAGCAAAUCCCAUAAAGUUGUUCUCAGUUCGGAUUGUAGUCUGCAACUCGACUACAUGAAGCUGGAAUCGCUAGUAAUCGUAGAUCAGCAUGCUACGGUGAAUACGUUCCCGGGUCU
rnacentral:rRNA from 1 species